rnacentral:tRNA from 1 species
GCGGGUGUGGCGGAAUUGGUAGACGCGCGGGAUUCAAAAUCCCGUUUCCCCAGGAAGUGAGAGUUCGAGUCUCUCCACCCGCACCA